AGCGAACGCUGGCGGCAGGCCUAAUACAUGCAAGUCGAGCGCCCCUUCGGGGGAGCGGCGGACGGGUGAGUAACGCGUGGGAACGUGCCCUUUGGUUCGGAACAACACAGGGAAACUUGUGCUAAUACCGAAUGUGCCCCUUCGGGGGAAAGAUUUAUCGCCAUUGGAGCGGCCCGCGUUGGAUUAGCUAGUUGGUGGGGUAAAGGCCCACCAAGGCGACGAUCCAUAGCUGGUCUGAGAGGAUGAUCAGCCACACUGGGACUGAGACAC
rnacentral:rRNA from 1 species